GACAGAGGGUGCAAACGUUGCUCGGAAUUACUGGGCGUAAAGCGCGUGUAGGCGGUCUCGCGAGUCGGGUGUGAAAGCCCGGGGCUCAACCCCGGACGUGCAUUCGAUACUACGAGGCUGGAGUACUGUAGAGGAGAGCGGAAUUCCCGGUGUAGAGGUGAAAUUCGUAGAUAUCGGGAGGAACACCAGUGGCGAAGGGCGGCUCUCCUGGACAGUGACUGACGCUGAGACGCGAAAGCGUGGGUAGCAAACAGG
rnacentral:rRNA from 1 species